UACGUAAGGGGCAAGCGUUAUCCGGAUUUACUGGGUGUAAAGGGAGCGUAGCCGGCUGUGUAAGUCAGAUGUGAAAACUUGGGGCUCAACCCCAAGACUGCAUUUGAAACUAUGCAGCUAGAGUGUCGGAGAGGUAAGCGGAAUUCCUAGUGUAGCGGUGAAAUGCGUAGAUAUUAGGAGGAACACCAGUGGCGAAGGCGGCUUACUGGACGAUGACUGACGUUGAGGCUCGAAAGCGUGGGGAGCAAACAGG
rnacentral:rRNA from 1 species